UUUAACGAGAGUUUGAUCCUGGCUCAGGAUGAACGCUGGCGGCGUGCUUAACACAUGCAAGUCGAGCGAAGCACUUUUUUAGAACUCUUCGGAGGGAAGAGAGGGUGACUUAGCGGCGGACGGGUGAGUAACGCGUGGGCAACCUGCCUUACACAGGGGGAUAACAAUUAGAAAUGAUUGCUAAUACCGCAUAAGACCCCGAUACCGCAUGGUACAGAGGUAAAAACUGAGGUGGUGUAAGAUGGGCCCGCGUCUGAUUAGGUAGUUGGUGGGGUAGAAGCCUACCAAGCCGACGAUCAGUAGCCGACCUGAGAGGGCGACCGGCCACAUUGGGACUGAGACACGGCCCAAACUCCUACGGGAGGCAGCAGUGGGGAAUAUUGCACAAUGGGGGAAACCCUGAUGCAGCGACGCCGCGUGAGUGAGGAAGUAUUUCGGUAUGUAAAGCUCUAUCAGCAGGGAAGAAAAUGACGGUACCUGACUAAGAAGCCCCGGCUAACUACGUGCCAGCAGCCGCGGUAAUACGUAGGGGGCAAGCGUUAUCCGGAUGUACUGGGUGUAAAGGGAGCGUAGACGGAUAAGCAAGUCUGGUGUGAAAAUCCGGGGCCCAACCCCGGAAUUGCAUUGGAAACUGCAUAUCUAGAGU
rnacentral:rRNA from 1 species